rnacentral:rRNA from 1 species
AUGAAGCCCAGCUUGCUGGGUGGAUUAGUGGCGAACGGGUGAGUAACACGUGAGUAACCUGCCCUUAACUCUGGGAUAAGCCUGGGAAACUGGGUCUAAUACCGGAUAGGAGCGUCCACCGCAUGGUGGGUGUUGGAAAGAUUUAUCGGUUUUGGAUGGACUCGCGGCCUAUCAGCUUGUUGGUGAGGUAAUGGCUCACCAAGGCGACGACGGGUAGCCGGCCUGAGAGGGUGACCGGCCACACUGGGACUGGGACACGGCCCAGACUCCUACGGGAGGCAGCAGUGGGGGAUAUUGCACAAUGGGCGAAAGCCUGAUGCAGCGACGCCGCGUGAGGGAUGACGGCCUUCGGGUUGUAAACCUCUUUCAGUAGGGAAGAAGCGAAAGUGACGGUACCUGCAGAAGAAGCACCGGCUAACUACGUGCCAGCCGCCGCGGUAA